CCUGAAAAUGGAUGGCGCUGAAGCGGGUGGCCGACACCACGCCGUCUGGUAAAGAAUUAUGAUCAGAUGAGUAGGAGGGCGUGGCGGUUGUAUCGAAGGGUAUGUGCAGACAUGUCUGGAACGGCCGCUAGUGCAGAUCUUGGUGGUAGUAGCAAGUAUUCAAGCGAGAUCCUUGAAGGGCGAAGCGGGGAAGGGUUCCACGCGAACAUUGAUUGGGCGUGGGUGAGUCGUUCCUAAGCCGAGUGGCGAUUGCUAAGUAGCGGCGAAAGGGAAGCUGGUUGACAUUCCAGCACACGGAUGUGGAGGCGGUGACGCGUAUUGGGACGAACACGCUGGCGGUGGCGCUGGGCAGAGUUGUCUUUUCUGUUUGACUUUGCGCACGCGGUGUGGAAUCCGCUUGUCGGGAGAAACACGCGUGUCGAGGCAGAGCGCCGGGGCUUUUCCGGCGUCCAGCUCGCCACCGACGGCCCUUGAAACUUUGUCUGCUUAAAUCCACGCCGUGGCGUACCGAUCACCGCAUCAGGUCCCCAAGGUGAACAGCCUCUGCUCUAUAUGAACAAUGCAGGUAAGGGAAGUCGGCAAAUUAGACCCGUAACUUUGGGAUAAGGGUUGGCUCUAGUGCUGCGUGGGAGUGGUUGCCCAUGGUCGGGGGAAUUGGUGAGGCUGGCUUGGCGCGGUGCCGGCUGCCGAGCUGGCUCUUCUGCUUUGGGCGACGCCC
rnacentral:rRNA from 1 species